AGUGAAUGCUGGCGGUAGGCCUAACACAUGCAAGUCGAACGGCAGCACAGUAAGAGCUUGCUCUUACGGGUGGCGAGUGGCGGACGGGUGAGGAAUACAUCGGAAUCUACUUUUUCGUGGGGGAUAACGUAGGGAAACUUACGCUAAUACCGCAUACGACCUACAGGUGAAAGCAGGGGAUCUUCGGACCUUGCGCGAUUGAAUGAGCCGAUGUCGGAUUAGCUAGUUGGCGGGGUAAAGGCCCACCAAGGCGACGAUCCGUAGCUGGUCUGAGAGGAUGAUCAGCCACACUGGAACUGAGACACGGUCCAGACUCCUACGGGAGGCAGCAGUGGGGAAUAUUGGACAAUGGGCGCAAGCCUGAUCCAGCCAUACCGCGUGGGUGAAGAAGGCCUUCGGGUUGUAAAGCCCUUUUGUUGGGAAAGAAAAGCAGCAGGUUAAUACCCCGCUGUUCUGACGGUACCCAAAGAAUAAGCACCGGCUAACUUCGUG
rnacentral:rRNA from 1 species